rnacentral:rRNA from 1 species
GACGGAGGAUGCAAGUGUUAUCCGGAAUCACUGGGCGUAAAGCGUCUGUAGGUGGUUUAAUAAGUCAACUGUUAAAUCUUGAGGCUCAACCUCAAAAUCGCAGUCGAAACUAUUAGGCUAGAGUAUAGUAGGGUAAAGGGAAUUUCCAGUGGAGCGGUGAAAUGCGUAGAUAUCUGGAGGAAUACCGGUGGCGAAGGCGGCAUCCUGGACCGGCAUUGACGCUGAGGAGCGAAAGCUAGGGGAGCAAACGGG